UGAUAAGGGUUCUCUCAUGCAAUGUAAUUCGGAAUCAAGAUUUCUAGUUGAAUACGGCUGCUGGUACCAUGUCUCCCUUUGAACAUGGCGAGUUUUUUGUUCUUGAUGAUGGUGGAGAGAGUCCUUCAGUCAUGGAGUACAAAGCUCUGGGUUAAAUGUAAUUGUUCCCUGUCAUGUUUCUUCAAACUGUAUCAAAGGUAGUGGAUGAAGAUAUUGGAGAUGAUGAAACCAAGUUUUGUGCCUCUAUAGUCAUCUAAGAUCACAUAGGAUAUCAACAUGUAAUAAGGAAUUAUUUAGUUGGUUUUAAUUGUAGCUUAGUUAACUAUUGUCAUCUAGGAUUAGAUAAGAUUAGAAGGUAUAGCUAGGAAUUAGUUACUAGAAUGUGCUUGUAGUCAAGUAUAUUGUAAUGAGUAAUAGAUACAAUGACAUUUGUUUUGGGAUUGUAAAGAUUAUUUGUAUGUAAAUGUGUUCUUUUUGUUUCAA